rnacentral:rRNA from 1 species
GAUGAACGCGGGCGGCGGGCCGAACACAGGCAAGGCGAGGGAACGGACGAGAAGCGGGCAGCGCGGAAGCGAGCGGCGGACGGGGGAGGAACACGGGGAGAACCGGCAGAGAAGAAGGGGAGAACGGCGGGAAACCGGAGCUAAUACCGGAUAAGAUUUUGAAACGCAUGGUUCAAAAGUGAAAGACGGACUUGAUGUCACUUAUAGAUGGAUCCGCGAUGCAUUAGCUAGUUGGUAAGGUAACGGCUUACCAGGGCAACGAUGCAUAGCCGAACUGAGAGGGUGAUCGGCCACACUGGAACUGAGGCACGGUCCAGACUCCUACGGGAGGCAGCAGUAGGGAAUCUUCCGCAAUGGGCGAAAGCCUGACGGAGCAACGCCGCGUGAGUGAUGAAGGUCUUCGGAUCUUAAAACUCUGUUAUUUGGGAAGAACAUAUGUGUAAGUAACUGUGCACAUCUUGACGUUACCUAAUCAGAAAGCCACGGCUAACUACGUG